rnacentral:lncRNA from 1 species
CUCUGAUCAAGUGGAGACCACAAAAGAAAGACAGGACGUGCCAGAAGUGCUUCAGCAGUUCCAGCAACCUCAAGACUCACCUGUGCCUGCACGUCCAGUGCAGUGUCUGCCCAAAUCACUUCACCCAGCUUGUCCAUUGGAAGCUGCACCAACAGCUCCACACUCCACAACCCGGCGGCCUGGCUCACCCCCACCUGCCCCUGGGCUCUCUUCCCUGCCUUGCCCAAUGGCACCAGCGAGCAUUGGAUCUUGUUGCGGAGCCCUCAGAGAAACAGAUGGGUUGGGACAUGGACAGGGUCAAGGUGUCCUUGGUAUCCCAGGGAAAGCCAGGGCAGCCAGCCUGAGCCAACACUGCUCAGAGGAGAGGGCAAGGGCAGAGCAAUUAAAGGAUUUUCAAAAUGA